AAUUUGAUGGAGAGUUUGAUUCUGGCUCAGAACGAACGCUGGCGGCGUGGAUAAGACAUGCAAGUCGAACGAGAGAAUUGCUAGCUUGCUAAUAAUUCUCUAGUGGCGCACGGGUGAGUAACACGUGAGUAACCUGCCCCCGAGAGCGGGAUAGCCCUGGGAAACUGGGAUUAAUACCGCAUAGUAUCGAAAGAUUAAAGCAGCAAUGCGCUUGGGGAUGGGCUCGCGGCCUAUUAGUUAGUUGGUGAGGUAACGGCUCACCAAGGCGAUGACGGGUAGCCGGUCUGAGAGGAUGUCCGGCCACACUGGAACUGAGACACGGUCCAGACACCUACGGGUGGCAGCAGUCGAGAAUCAUUCACAAUGGGGGAAACCCUGAUGGUGCGACGCCGCGUGGGGGAAUGAAGGUCUUCGGAUUGUAAACCCCUGUCAUGUGGGAGCAAAUUAAAAAGAUAGUACCACAAGAGGAAGAGACGGCUAACUCUGUGCCAGCAGCCGCGGUAAUACAGAGGUCUCAAGCGUUGUUCGGAAUCACUGGGCGUAAAGCGUGCGUAGGCUGUUUCGUAAGUCGUGUGUGAAAGGCGCGGGCUCAACCCGCGGACGGCACAUGAUACUGCGAGACUAGAGUAAUGGAGGGGGAACCGGAAUUCUCGGUGUAGCAGUGAAAUGCGUAGAUAUCGAGAGGAACACUCGUGGCGAAGGCGGGUUCCUGGACAUUAACUGACGCUGAGGCACGAAGGCCAGGGGAGCGAAAGGGAUUAGAUACCCCUGUAGUCCUGGCAGUAAACGGUGCACGCUUGGUGUGCGGGGAAUCGACCCCCUGCGUGCCGGAGCUAACGCGUUAAGCGUGCCGCCUGGGGAGUACGGUCGCAAGAUUAAAACUCAAAGAAAUUGACGGGGACCCGCACAAGCGGUGGAGUAUGUGGCUUAAUUCGAUGCAACGCGAAGAACCUUACCUGGGCUUGACAUGUAAUGAACAACAUGUGAAAGCAUGCGACUCUUCGGAGGCGUUACACAGGUGCUGCAUGGCCGUCGUCAGCUCGUGUCGUGAGAUGUUUGGUUAAGUCCAGCAACGAGCGCAACCCCUGUUGCCAGUUACCAGCACGUGAAGGUGGGGACUCUGGCGAGACUGCCCAGAUCAACUGGGAGGAAGGUGGGGACGACGUCAGGUCAGUAUGGCCCUUAUGCCCAGGGCUGCACACGUACUACAAUGCCCAGUACAGAGGGGGCCGAAGCCGCGAGGCGGAGGAAAUCCUGAAAACUGGGCCCAGUUCGGACUGUAGGCUGCAACCCGCCUACACGAAGCCGGAAUCGCUAGUAAUGGCGCAUCAGCUACGGCGCCGUGAAUACGUUCCCGGGUCUUGUACACACCGCCCGUCACAUCAUGGAAGCCGGUCGCACCCGAAGUAUCUGAAGCCAACCGCAAGGAGGCAGGGUCCUAAGGUGAGACUGGUAACUGGGAUGAAGUCGUAACAAGGUAGCCGUAGGGGAACCUGCGGCUGGAUCACCUCCUUUCUA
rnacentral:rRNA from 1 species